rnacentral:lncRNA from 1 species
CAUUUCUCCUCUGUAACAAUGCAAACACUACAACUCAUAGAACGCUUCAAACGCUUUUGAUCAAGACUGUUCGAAGCAAAUUCAAUUUAUAUGGUUCAUCCAAACCUUCGACUACUACAAGAUGUGGCUUGCAUCACAAUCUCUCGCUUAACAGUAUGGAAGCAAAAUUUGUAUACGUUGUCUCUCCCACAUUUUCAAAUUUCUAGUUUUCCCAAAAAAAAAAAAAAAAAAAAAAAAAAAAAAAAAAAAAAAAAAGAAGAGGAAAUUGGAAAUUGGGAAAUUCAACAAAAGCUUCAUCAAUGGAGGACAAAUAUCAAUCUCCAAAGCUUCGCACUAUGUUCAUCAAGAUAGUGCGAAGCACAAUCAAUUUAUGGUGCCAACAAAAUCUUCAUCAAUGGAGGACAAGUAUAAAUCUCCAAAGCUUCGCACUAUGUUCAUCAAGAUAGUGCGAAGCACAAUCAAUUUAUGGUGCCAACAAAAGCUUCAUCAAUGGAGGACAAGUAUCAAUCUCCAAAGCUUCGCACUAUGUUCAUCAAGAUAGUGCGAAGCACAAUCAAUUUAUGGUGCCAACAAAAUCUUCAUCAAUGGAGGACAAGUAUCAACCUCCCAAGCUUCGCACUAUGUUCAUCAAGAUAGUGCGAAGCACAAUCAAUUUAUGGUGCCAACAAAAGCUUCACCUAUAAAGCUUCAACCCCAAAGCUUCACCUAUAAAGCUUCAACACAAAGCUUCACCUAUCAAGCUUCAACACCAAAGCUUCACCUAUAAAGCUUCAAACACAAAGCUUCACCUAUCAAGCUUCAACCCCAAAGCUUCACCUAUAAAGCUUCAAACACAAAGCUUCACCUAUAAAGCUUCAACACCAAAGCUUCACCUAUAAAGCUUCACCUAUCAAGCUUCAACCCCAAAGCUUCACCUACAAUACCAAAUUUCAACACCAAAACACAUAAAAGCUUCACACACUCUUCAUCAAGAUAGUGCGAAGCUAAUUCCAGUGGAGCUGAAUUUUGGACAUCUUAUAGUUCUUGAGCAGAUGAACAACUUUCACGAAGGAAAUUUUUCUAUUUGAGCGACGGAAGUUAGAGUGUUGAAGCUCCAAACAUGACGGUCAGAUUUCUGCAAGCUUCAAAGCUGUUGCGGUGUUUCGAAGAUCUGGAAAUAUUCAACCGUUAGUUUGUUCUGAAUUUUUGAUAUGUUAUGGAAGAGAUGAUGAGGAACAACUUCCAUGAAGAAAGUAUGUUGAUCUGAACAAGAGAAAAUGGAGUUUCGAAGCUCACAACAAGUCUGACGGAUUAACAGAACAUUGAUGAACAGUUACUCAUCAUACUUGAAUUUCUGAAGUUGUAUUACUCCGAUGGAUCUCAAAUUUGGAUAUGUUGUAGUUCACAAGAUAAGGAACAACUUUCAUGAAGACGACUUUGCAAUCUGAGCUAUAGAGAAUGGUGUUAUCGUGCAUCCACUCAGG